CUUGCUGUAACCAUAGCCAUUGUGAGGUAUGUGCUGGCCGGAUUCUGGUGGACCGUGUUGGCAGCUGGGUUGCCGUGCUGUUGCCUAUCGAUUGUCAUGUGUAUGGCAAAUUGGGACUCCUCGGAGAUAUGG
rnacentral:SRP_RNA from 1 species